rnacentral:rRNA from 1 species
CCCUUAGAUGUUCUGGGCGGCCCGCGCACUACAAUGGCGUGUGCAGCGAGUGCCGAAGUAGAGUUUUCCGAGGUAUUCUUGCAAUGCCCGUUUUGAUGGGGAUAGACCCUUGCAACUGUUGGUUUUGAACGAGGAAUUCCUUGUAAGCAUGGUUUAUCAUCCGACGCUGAAUGCGUCCCUGCCCUUUGUACACACCGCCCGUCGCUCCUACCGAUUGAGUGGUCCGGUGAGGCUUUGGGAUCUGAGCGGAAAGAGCGUUUCGCUGUUUCUGCUCGGAAAACUCAGUCGAACCUUAUCAUUUAGAGGAAGGAGAAGUCGUAACA